rnacentral:lncRNA from 1 species
UCAUGCACACUCUGUAACAUAACACAUAUCAUGCUUUUGUAUUUCAAUUAUCAGACAAUAAAUUUCUUCUUUUAUCAGCCUACUAGUAUCCAUGGGGAUCCAUAGGGGGUCCCCGCUACACGUGAACCAUUCACAUUAAUAACUUAAUUCCAGGGUUGUCCCCAUACCCCAUCCGGUAUGGGCGCUAAAACCAUAAACCUCAAUACCCCGUCCGGUAUGAGGGUGAAACGGGUCGUCCCCAUACCCCGUCCGGUAUGAGCGCCAAAAUACAUAAGGUCUCCAUACCCCGUCCGAUAUGAGAGACCACGUUC